AUUGAUCGCUGGCGGCAGGCCUAACACAUGCAAGUCGAGCGAGCGGCGGACGGGCGAGUAAUGUAUGGGGACUGCCCGAUAGAGGGGGAUCACUACUGGAAACGGUGGCUAAUACCGCAUUCUAUCGGUUAACCCAUAUGGGAUUAGCUAGUAGGUGGGGUAAAGGCUCACCUAGGCGACGAUCUCUCGCUGGGCUGAGAGGAUGAUCAGCCACACGUGGACUGCGACGGGGCCCAGACGCCUACGGAGGCAGCAGUGGGGAAUCUUGCACAAUGGGCGCAAGCCUGAUGCAGCCAUGCCGCGGGUAUGAAGAAGGCCUUAGGGUUGUAAGGUACUUUCAGCUGGGAGGCGUUACCCGCAGAAGAAGCACCGGCUAACUCCGUGCCAGCAGCCGCGGUAAUAC
rnacentral:rRNA from 1 species